UACGAGAGGUGCAAGCGUUAUUCGGAAUUAUUGGGCGUAAAGGGCGCGUAGGCGGCCUUCUAAGUCGAACGUGAAAUCCCCGGGCUCAACCCGGGAACUGCGUCCGAUACCGGAAGGCUUGAAUCCGGGAGAGGGAUGCGGAAUUCCAGGUGUAGCGGUGAAAUGCGUAGAUAUCUGGAGGAAUACCGGUGGCGAAGGCGGCAUCCUGGACCGGCAUUGACGCUGAGGAGCGAAAGCCAGGGGAGCAAACGGG
rnacentral:rRNA from 1 species